rnacentral:rRNA from 1 species
UACAGAGGGGGCAAGCGUUAUUCGGAAUUAUUGGGCGUAAAGGGCGCGUAGGCGGCUUGGCAAGUGGAUGGUGAAAUCCCUCGGCUUAACCGAGGAACUGCCGUCCAAACUGCUUAGCUUGAGACCGGGAGAGGUGAGUGGAAUUCCCAGUGUAGCGGUGAAAUGCGUAGAUAUUGGGAGGAACACCAGUGGCGAAGGCGGCUCACUGGACCGGUACUGACGCUGAUGCGCGAAAGCGUGGGGAGCA